AUUUUCUUACUAUUUUGUACUGUCAAUGUGGGAAAAGUCCCAAAGAUCUAUCUAUAAGAAAAAGCUCAUUAUCUACAUCCUCAGUAUCUUCUUCAUCGGAAUGAUCCAAAAUAUUAGCACUUUCCUGCUGUUGAGUAAUCUCAGUGUUUGAUUUCUUUGCAGAAGCUGCAAGCUCUUGUUGAAAUCUAUUCAGUGAUUUCUAUGUAUUCUACUUUAUGCGGUGCAAUCUGUUCUUUUACAUGCUUUACAGUCAUCAUCUUUUCUAUAUUAACCUGUCUUCAUGAUAUUUUUUCAGUUUGACGUUGGUGAGCUGUAAGAUAUUGAUUGAGAUCUCUCUUGUGUUGAGCAUAUUUUCAAACCAUCUCAACAGUGGA
rnacentral:sRNA from 2 species